UACAGAGGGGGCAAGCGUUGUUCGGAAUUACUGGGCGUAAAGGGCGCGUAGGCGGCCCGCUAAGUCGAACGUGAAAUCCCCAGGCUUAACCUGGGAACUGCGUCCGAUACUGGCAGGCUUGAAUCCGGGAGAGGGAUGUGGAAUUCCAGGUGUAGCGGUGAAAUGCGUAGAUAUCUGGAGGAACACCGGUGGCGAAGGCGGGUCUCUGGGCAACAACUGACGCUGAGGAGCGAAAGCGUGGGGAGCGAACAGG
rnacentral:rRNA from 1 species